AUAGUAGAGUUAUUUUUAAAUAACAGAAAAUAUAAGAAAUAUAUAUUUGAACUAAAAAAAAUAAAAAUAUAUAAAAGAUAUUUUAGAAGUUUUGUAGUAUAUAUAUUAGAUAUUAUCCUUAGGGCCCGUUUGGUUCGAGUUAUGUAAUAUUACAAAGUAUCUCGACAUAUCCAGGCAUGUUGGAUUUCGGCGUGAGAUUAUUACUAAUGCUGUAUUAAAGCGUUUGAUUUAAUACAGUAAUGUAAUACUAGAUUACAGUGUUUAUAGUAUUAAUAUAUUUGGUUCAGUUUAUAAAAUUUAGUAAUCCUGAUAUAAAAGUAUAGUUUUUUUCAAAAUUGCCCAUAUUGUAGUCAUUUGAAUAUUGAUUUUUGCGGAAAUAACAAAUGUAGAGAAGGAGAUCGUGAUGAUUAUUUGGGAGGACGACGCAAUAGAAGAUGAUAGGUGUUCGUGCGAGAGAGAGAGAGAGAGAGAGACGUCGAGAGAGAGCGAGAAAAAAGCGGCGUGAAAAUAAUACUGUUUAUUAGAUUUGGGGUUGUUAGGAGAUAAAAUUGUCAUUUUACAUAAUAUGUAGUAUUAACGGAUUUCAGUAAUGCAAGAUACACGACCCCCUCCCGUUAAUAUUUUUGAUGUAAUCCUGCUCGAUUUGUAAUGCUACAUUAACGACUAGAUUACAUAGCGGAUUAACCAAACACAGUUAUCCUGACAGGAUUGCCUGUAAUCCUGUCAGGAUAACUCGAACCAAACGCACCCUUAACAAAAUGUCGGCAGAGUAAAAGGACCAAAAGUAUAGCCAAAAACUAUUGUCAAAGAGCUUGGUGAUUGAUACCUAAUAUCUCAAAUUUGAAUCAUAGUUGAUUCAUAUUUCUAGUUAAAUUUAUUUUUUUUAAAAAAUAGUAAAGAUGUAUUAUGGG
rnacentral:lncRNA from 1 species